CGCGGCCACACGGUUCGAGCUGCGUCUCUCUUUUAUCUCCUCGCCCGUCCUUUGUAAUGGAAAAAGAAGUGCUUCGAAUCAUUGCUAUUUGACUCGGACCUGUUCUGAAAAAGUCGAGGUAUUUCGAAUUGUUUGUUGACACGGACAAAGUAAGGGAAAACCUCUGAAAGAAUUUCCAUAUUGACCUUGGACAUAUAAGAGUUCCGAAUCGAAUCUCUUUAGAAAGAGGAUCGGUGCAGCGCCAUACCAGCCAUCCCCAUAUCUCCUCCUACACUUGUGAUGAGGUAAGCUUAGGCCCCUGUUAAAUAUUGAAGAGGUGUAUGUCCCAGCCAUCGGCAAUCCUUCUGCAUACAAGGUAUUUGAAAAAAUGUCUAUGUCAAGUUGAUCAUGCUAAAACACUCCGCCUUUUGGCCGAAAUUCAUGAUGCAAUCAUUGGUAUUAUAGUGCAGACUUUGUAUUCAUAUGUAAUUUUUGUGAGUUAUCCCAAAUUUAAUUUUUCAGUCCCAUUGUUUUAUUUAAGUACGUCUGUUUAUGUUUGACUGAAUUUUGUUCCUGCGAAUGCCUGGUUGACUGAUAUAUACCUGCACUUGCCUAUGCACACAAACUAAAGUUAUUGCUUUGCUGUCAAAAUCAUUUUAUAACCAUUUAUUCUUACUGCAGACUUGGGUUUCUCAUUCAUGGAGAUGAAUCCAUUGAUCCUGAUAAAUUGGGAACCAUACCCUGUGGACAUAGGUGAACUGGAUGACACAACUAUUUUCAAGAACUUGAAGAAGUGGAGUAACCUUGAGUUCCCGCUGCCUUUCGGAAGAGUCAUGAGCCUCUUUCAAAAAGGUUAUAUCCAUGAACUGGAUGAGGAGGUAUACACAUGUUUUGUUCUUUUCGUUUUUUCUUCUAAAGUCAGCUUCCCAUGAAUAUUAUUAGAGUACACAUUUUGUCUUAAGUUCAUUUAUACAGACGUAAUAUGCCAUUGCUUCAGUUAGUACUGAAGGUAGAUACAUCUAAUAUAACAUUUUUCAUUAUUUUAGACAGGUGCAUCACUAAAAUUUAACGCUCUGAACUUGAAAGGUCGCAUUUGGACACUGAUUGCAGGUGGUGGUGCGAGUGUCCUAUCUGCUGACACAGUAAACUUAACUUUCUUCCAAGUCUUUUAGAUAAGUUGUAAAAGUUAAUUAAGAUGAUAACAGAUCAAUGUUAUUUCCUUGUUCGAGAUUCGGGAUAUGCCGCAGAGCUAAGAAAUUAUGAAGGGUACAGUGGAGCUCCCAAAGAGGAGGAGGUUUUGCAAUAUGCUAGAUUGGUUUUGGAUUGCCAGGAAUCCAAAUCAAAGGCUACAGUGGUGAACAUUUAUGUUUGGAGAGGUGGUCCAAACUGGGGUUGCCAUAAUGUGUGAUCUAGGUUCAGAGCUUGGUCUUCCAAUUGAGCUAUGGUCUCAAGUUCUCUUUGGUGAAGACAAAUCAACCAUAUGUAUCUUUAGUGAUUAACGAAUGAUCUUAGCUUCUCUAACACCAACCUCAUACCUUGUGUUUCAUACUUGAUUUUGAAGUCUCUUGGCUAUGAAUUUAGUGUAUUACAAUAGAUUGUUUGGCUAUUGCCAUCCCUAUAACAAAUGCGGUGCAGGAUUACAUGUUAUCAAGUAAUGCAUUUGGUUUUCUGAACAUAUAAGAGUGUCUCAAUUACUUACUUUCUUUACCACACAUUCAGGUAAAGCUUAGAAUGUCAAAAAUUUCAAAGCCUCCGGUCAACUUACGUAUGCUAAAUGUGCACAUGAACUUUAAAAGUUGGAUAACUCUAUCAUCAUCAACAACAUUAUACAUGACACAAACUUCAAUACUUAUGUUAUCUGAUAUUUUAGUAGAUCUCUCCAUUGAAUUGUAGUGCCCUUUUCCAAUUUAUGUUAUCCAAGAUGAAUAAUGAAUACAAACUUCAAUACUGCAGCAAUCAUCUAUUCAUGACAUACAUUCCUCAGAAACAAGUUGAAGAUAAGUGAGCUUCUCUGGAACUGGAGAGUGUUUGAGAAUGCAAUUUUCUUUUAUAAUUUAUGUUAUCCUCGUGAUAGUUAUAUAUGGUGACAUGAUUAUGAACCUUCUAAUCAGAAUAUAUAACAUUUAUGUUUUGCAAACCUGCGAGUUAGUGCCCAUCAUGGUCAUAGGUUCCUCUGUAGUUUCUUCCAAGCAUAAUACUUGUGAUAAGACAUCAAAGGUUCAUAUAAUACUAUCCAAGUAUAAGUUGGAGUGGUCCAUUGCAGAUUAACUUACUUUCCCACUAUUCCUAAUUUCAGCGGCGUGCAGACAUGCAGUCUACGCCAACACUUGUCUCUUACCGGUGAGCCGAGCCACGGACAGAUUGGGGGUAGGCGGCGGUGGUGGUCGGAGGAGAAGUGAGACGGACGGCGCUGGAUCGGGGAGGCUGUGGAGGAGCUCAGCAGAAACGACAAGCAGGCGGAAGGAGAGCGGCAGCAGUGGAGGUGCGUGAAGAAGACUAGAAGAAUGGGGAACCACCUCCGGAUUCAGCGCAAGUUGUCACUCUGAAUCUGCUCCCUCUCUCGGUUGGGAAGACUCCAGAAGGAUUCAUCCGUGCUGUGAUGGGUUGAGGAAGGUGGAGAGGACCAGCGAUUACAGGUACAUAAGCUGCAUGAUGAAAUGUUGCACCUACAAUAUCCGAGUAAUUGGCAAUUUUUACAUUUUGCUUAGUUGGUUGGGUUCAAACUUCAAACAUAGCAGUGCCAAUGUCGGCGCCUUGGCAAGUGAGUCUCGACGUGAGUGCUGGUGUCACGAGCACGUCAGCAGUAGCUGUUAUAUGUGCGGCAAUGGAGGCCUCGAGACGCAGGUACAAAUGUGUUGGUUCAAGAGCUGUCCACUUCAUAGGAGUUGGCUUGGAUCCAUCCAUGAGAUUUGAUUUCCUUGGAAAAUUAUGAAGCGUUCCUGUCGGAAGUUCAUCCAUGGCUCCUAGACAGAUGUAGGCCUUGCUUGGAGCAACUUUGCAUGCACAAAAGCGUGGAACUCGCUCUUGGGCACCGUAAUGAUAUGAAGGAGAGCCUUUUUAUUUCCAGCCUGAUCGGCUACAUAAAUUCUGGUCCUACUCUGCCUCUCAAAUCUUUGUUGAAAAGGGGACCAUGUUGUGUUUUCUUGCUUAUGGCCUCUUCUCGACAUAUAAUCCUUGGUCUAUAUCACUAAUGUUUAGUACAUCUAUAACUUGGGUAGUUCCCGUACUCCUUAAUUUCAUAAUAUCAUGAAAGGGGUGUCUUUGGUACAUUUUGAUGACCGAUAACUGACAAGUUCUCAAGGUCGAUGCUUUUGAUAGUGUUUAUUUUAUUCCUACAUAUCAUGGCCUCUGUUUCUUGUGUGGCCUGGAUUUAUUUUCUCAUUGUAUCCUUUCAAUUACACAAUAGUAAAUCUUCCAAUCUCAGAACUUCAAAUGUAGCUCUUGAAUGCAAUAAUAGGGAUUUGAAACGUUUCCAUUCUUGAAUAU